UACCUGGAGGACUAGUGGGUAGGCCUCAGCGCUCUCACUGCUGUGGCACGGGUUCGAUUCCCGGCCAGGGAC
rnacentral:tRNA from 1 species